rnacentral:rRNA from 1 species
UGGGGAAUUUUUGGCAAUGGGGGCAACCCUGACCAAGCAACGCCGCGUGGGUGAUGAAGUCUCUUGGGACGUAAAACCCUUUCGACGGGGAAGAAACCGCAAGGUUGACGGUACCCGUAGAAGAAGCCCCGGCUAACUCCGUGCCAGCAGCCGCGGUAAUACGGGGGGGGCAAGCGUUGUUCGGAAUUACUGGGCGUAAAGGGCGCGUAGGCGGUUCGCUAAGUUGGAUGUGAAAACUCUGGGCUCAACCCAGAGCCUGCAUCCAAAACUGGCGGGCUAGAGUUCUGGAGGGGGUAGCGGAAUUCCUGGUGUAGCGGUGAAAUGCGUAGAUAUCAGGAGGAACACCGGUGGCGAAGGCGGCUACCUGGACAGAAACUGACGCUGAGGCGCGAAAGCUAGGGGAGCAAACAGG